GAGAUGAGGUACAGAUAAUAGAAGUGAACAGUGUAUGUUAAAAUGGUACUGUGCGAGUUACCGGACGUGUAUCAGUAGAAAUUGAGAGUUCUAAAACGCAAGUGCUAGUGAACUGUGUCGACAGAAGGUUGCACAUCGCAAACAAUGAGUACCUCGGAGACGAUGAAGUUAUCACAGGGGUCAGCUUUGGUCGUUAAUCAGUUAGGGAACGUAGGAUUGAAUGUAAAAGAUGUGGGUAAGUCCCGCAGCUACGGAAGUAUCCUGGAGGAGAGGAAAAGGUGCGGUUGGAGCGCAAGUGGCAACUCGUCCAUCGUAACAGGUAAGGAGUCUGGGCUGAGCAGUGCUGUGGUUAGCACCUCACUAGCAUCAUUGUGGCUCAUAUUUAUGGAGCUUUGAGGCCAGAAGAGCUUAAGAGCAGUAUUUAUGGAUGCUAAAUUUGGUGAUACUAUUAUCAUGGCAUGGUUUUUGGCCCUAUAAAACUAUAAUUCCGACGCCAAGAAGAUCAGUAAUAGGGCGAGGCCAACAGUACUGCCGUGACUCCAUCGCCACCAUGUUGAUAGCCACUGCAAGUUAAGCCACCAGUACCAUCAGCCUUCCACUAAAUUGUUUAUAUUUGGCACUCUGUAAAUGGACCAGGUAUUUGUGAAAUUUUGUUGAUUUUAAUAAUAAUCUUGGUGUUAAAAACUCUA